AGUGGGGGACAACGUUUCGAAAGGAACGCUAAUACCGCAUACGUCCUACGGGAGAAAGUGGGGGAUCUUCGGACCUCACGCUAUCAGAUGAGCCUAGGUCGGAUUAGCUAGUUGGUGAGGUAAAGGCUCACCAAGGCGACGAUCCGUAACUGGUCUGAGAGGAUGAUCAGUCACACUGGAACUGAGACACGGUCCAGACUCCUACGGGAGGCAGCAGUGGGGAAUAUUGGACAAUGGGCGAAAGCCUGAUCCAGCCAUGCCGCGUGUGUGAAGAAGGUCUUCGGAUUGUAAAGCACUUUAAGUUGGGAGGAAGGGCAGUAAGUUAAUACCUUGCUGUUUUGACGUUACCAACAGAAUAAGCACCGGCUAACUUCGUGCCAGCAGCCGCGGUAAUACGAAGGGUGCAAGCGUUAAUCGGAAUUACUGGGCGUAAAGCGCGCGUAGGUGGUUCGUUAAGUUGGAUGUGAAAGCCCCGGGCUCAACCUGGGAACUGCAUCCAAAACUGGCGAGCUAGAGUAUGGCAGAGGGUGGUGGAAUUUCCUGUGUAGCGGUGAAAUGCGUAGAUAUAGGAAGGAACACCAGUGGCGAAGGCGACCACCUGGGCUAAUACUGACACUGGGGUGCGAAAGCGUGGGGAGCAAACAGGAUUAGAUACCCUGGUAGUCCACGCCGUAAACGAUGUCGACUAGCCGUUGGGAUCCUUGAGAUCUUAGUGGCGCAGCUAACGCAUUAAGUCGACCGCCUGGGGAGUACGGCCGCAAGGUUAAAACUCAAAUGAAUUGACGGGGGCCCGCACAAGCGGUGGAGCAUGU
rnacentral:rRNA from 1 species